rnacentral:rRNA from 1 species
UUUAAUGGCUGCAGUAAAUUGACUGUACAAAGGUAGCAUAAUCAAUAGUUUUUUAAUUAAAAGCUAGUAUGAAAGGUUGGACGUAAUAGAAUCUGUCUUUAUUUAAAUUAAAUUAGAAUUUAAUUUUUAAGUUAAAAAGCUUAAAUUUUUAUAAAAGACGAGAAGACCCUAUAGAGUUUAAUAAAAUUAUUUAGUUAUAUAAUUUAGAUUUAUUAAUUAUAUUUAAAUUAGUUUAUUUUAUUGGGGUAAUAUAAGGAUUGUAUUAAUUUCUUAUAAUUUUUAAUAUUAAUUUAUAAAUUUUUGAUCCAAAAAUUUUGAUUUAAAGAUUAAAUUACCUUAGGGAUAACAGCGUAAUUUUUUUAGAGAGUUCAUAUUGAUAAAAAAGUUUGCGACCUCGAUGUUGGAUUAAAGAUUAUUUUAGGUGCAAAAGUUUAAAUAAUUUGGUCUGUUCGACCAUUAAAUCUUUACAUGAUCUGAGUUCAGACCGGUGUGAGCCAGGUCGGUUUCUAUCUUUAUUUAAAUAAAAUAUUUUAGUACGAAAGGACCAGAUAUUAAUUAAAAUAAUUUUUUUUUGAAUAUUAAUAUUAUUUUGGCAGAUUAGUGCAAUGAAUUUAGAUUUCAUGAAUGUAUUUAUAUACAUAUAAUACUUGUUUUUAAUAGAUAUUUUAUUUAUAUUUAUUAGUAUAGUUUUAUUAGUUAUUUGUGUAAUAGUGGGAGUUGCUUUUUUGACAUUAUUAGAACGAAA